ACCAGAUAUUGCACGUAUGUCUAUAGAGUACUUGGAGCCUCGGCGCCUCAAGAUGGUAGGGCGAGGGUAAGAAGGCCGGAAAGGAGGAAGCAGACGGAACGCUGAAGAAGAGAGGGGGAAAACCCCUCUCUCUUUAGCGUGCCGUCUGCUUCCUCCUCCCGGCCUGUCUU
rnacentral:SRP_RNA from 1 species